GGAGAGGUGCCGGAGUGGCUGAACGGGGCGGUCUCGAAAACCGCUGUCCUGAGUAAUUGGGACCCAGGGUUCAAAUCCCUGUCUCUCCG
rnacentral:tRNA from 1 species